UGGAUCCACAGCAUGAGCACAGAACACUGCUUUCUCUUGACUCAAUUUUUUUCGUCUGAGCUGAGUUUUCUCAGGAUUUCUCAGUUUUCGCAGAAGAACAUCCUAUAAUAUGCAGUGUUUGCCUCUAUAUAAUGGAACCAUCUUGUUGUCUUCACAACGGGGAAUUUUUCCUGUGAGAGUUCUUAAUCUGUGAAAGACAGUCUUCAAAAGGUCGUCUUCGCAAAUCUCACAGUACAUCAAGCCCAGCUGUUGUGUGGCUCUUCACUUCAGUCUCCUUCUGCUCACCUCAUCCCAACCUACUGGAAGGAGAAAACAUUUCCUGUGUCGGUGCUUAACAGAGGAAGACGACUGGUCUGCAAUGACCUCAGAAGGUUCUGGCAGUUUUCCAAAGACCUUAAGCAGAAUUAUCUCAAAGCUUCCAUCAACUCCAUGAGCCCUUGCAGUACGGUGUGGAACACCUCUGCAUUCCAGAAGAGGAAUGAUUGUUGCAAUAGAACAGUAUUUCUCUAACUUCCAAAUCGUGAAACCUGACUAAUACUGAAGAUACUUGAAGCCUUGUUCUCAUGAAGAGAAGAAAACUCUAGGGUUAUGGAGGAAUAAUUUGAGCUUUGUGUACCAGACUACAAAAGGAAAAAGGGAGCAAGUAUUCCAGCACUGACUUGAAAACAGCUUGUCCCCUUACCUGAUAAGGAGGAAGAGUCUGGACCUGUUACUCUUCUCACAUCCUACAUGAUGACUGCUCAGAGUCUCCACAGAGAAGAGAGUGAUUUCCUGUUUGUCCCUGCUUAUAUUCUCAUUCUGCCCAGCUCCAUCACUUCCUGCCUGUCUAUACAGAUCUCCAGACCUCUGUGGUUAGCUAAUGGCAGUUUCUGCCCAACUACAUCACUUCCUGGGAUCACAUGAUGACUCCUCUCUGCCUACACUUCCCAGAAUCCUCCUUGUCUCCUAGUCCUAUCUAUCAUCCUGCCUGGCCAAUCAGGGUUUUAUUCAUCAACCAAUAAGACAAAAAUAUACACAGAAGACAAAUUUCAAAACCAUGAACAAAACAAAUGAUUUAGUCUGUAAACCAAAAAGAAACUAUUGGUACAAAAUCUCCAGAAGCAAUUCCCUGCCUGGGUUCACAUCUUCUAAUACUUAUAUAUCAUUACAACAUUGGAUCCAGCCACCUGUGAGUCAUGUCAGUCAGUGUGCUUAUAGUAAACUAAAUCUCAAUGUGGAAACAUGUAGUCUUUUCUAAUUUUUAUGAUAUAGUUGCCUCAAUUUUGGUCAACUUCAAGGUAGCAAGUUGAACAUUGAUACCAAAUGAACCCAGCACAUACCUCAAACCAACUUACCCCAGUUCCAACAGCAUGUCAAGAGGAAAUAUCCCAGAGUGUCAUGAGGGGAUAUCCCACCAUCUGUAGUGUAUCUGUAUUCUUGAAGAUUCACGUUCUAUGUUGAAUGAGGAGCAAGGCAAAGGAGCCUGAAGACCUGGGACCGAUUGUGGGCAAAUACCUAUUCCUUGGACAGCCUCACUCAUCUUUCUACUCUGUCUUCCUUUUCUUCCUUCUGGAUAUCCUUUCCCCAGCUUCAUACAGUAAAGCGUGUGUCUCCCGGGGAUGGCUUCAUAGGCACUGCCAUCUUCUUAGAUUUCACUGCCACUUUCUCCCUCCAGUUCCUCUUUCUCUAAGCCCAGCCCCUUUUCCAGUAAUGACUCAAAGCGCACCUCACUCAGACUUUGGCUGUCACUGACAGCGUCCUCAGUCCAGUCCCCAGAUCUUAUGCUCUGCCAAGCCCCUCUCUGCUGAGACUACCACUUACUCAUGCAUGAUGGGAAUUAUUACUAUUUUCUUGAUGAUUUUUUUUGAGGUAGAGUCUCUUUGCUGAAGUAAAAAGAUCUAUAGUUUGUCCUGUCUCCAUUUCUUCCUUCUUCUAAGCUUAGUCUCUUUAGGCUCCUCCCCUUUGCCAUAGUGCAGUGUAUCCUGGUAGGAAAUAAUAUUCUCUCAAGCCAAAAUAUUCUCUUCUGGUAUUUUUUAAAUAUAAAGUUCACUUUAAAGCUAAGAAAUGACUCAAGCACCUCCAUAUACAAGCAUACUUCUCAUGUAUUUAAUAUUGGGUAGCUAAAACUACCCCAUUUGGGAGAACUGUUGAUGUGAUUUGUAUUUUUUGGAUCACAGUUUCUUACACAUCUGAAAGUUACUCUGUGUGUGGCUGAACUACAUGGUAUGUGUGAUGACUAGCUUGCUGCCAGUACAUACAAGUAAAGAGUAUGUGUUAGCUAUGGUUACUGGAUGUUGGUCUUACUAUAGUUAUCUCAUAACCACUAAAUGAUUUUUAUUCAACCAGACCCCUAAAACACAGCAAUGGGAGGGAUCUCUCUAAAACCCAUAUUUGAUCAGGCCAUAGAUACAAAUUGACUUAAGCUUUCUACUACUCCCCACCACUAAGAAUAAAAUACCACCUUGUUGCCUAAGACUUCAAAGGCCUGUACGAGCUAACCCCUACACGACUUUCUAGCUCUCCUUCUGGUUGUGAGAUUUCUAGACUCUAGAAGACUUCUUGUUCUCUUGCAUUAGCAAAUGACUAACUUUUCUUGGUCAUAACUCAUGAUUUUAGAUAACUCUGCUUCAGAGUCCUUCUGUAAUCACCAGGCUUAAAUUGUCAUCCUGAUACUAAAGUAAAAUAAAAAUUUACUUUAUUUUUCCAUACAGCAAUUGUAUACUUAUCAGAUAUUUACAUUUAUGUAUCUAAUUUUAACAUUUAAAUUUAGUUUUAAU
ensembl:lncRNA